rnacentral:rRNA from 1 species
UACAGAGGUCCCAAGCGUUACUGAGAAUUACUGGGCGUAAAGGGCGCGUAGGCGGCCCGCUAAGUCGAACGUGAAAUCCCCGAGCUCAACUCGGGAACUGCGUCCGAUACUGGCGGGCUUGAAUCCGGGAGAGGGAUGCGGAAUUCCAGGUGUAGCGGUGAAAUGCGUAGAUAUCUGGAGGAACACCGGUGGCGAAGGCGGCAUCCUGGACCGGCAUUGACGCUGAGGCGCGAAAGCUAGGGGAGCGAACAGG